CUGCGAGUUCGCGGGAGAGUAAGUUAUUGCCAGGGUUUUUAUUUUAUACUUUAAACAUUGAUUUUAUUUUUUAUGUUUUUAGAUGUUCAUGUUUUUGAAUGUUUUAUUUAAAUAAUAUAAAAAAUAAAAUAUAUAUUGACAUGGAUUAAACAAAGAUAUAUAUUAUUCUAUGUUGCAUAAACAAAUUGGGAAAAUAGAGAUGGAAGAUAAA
rnacentral:misc_RNA from 1 species